UACACAGAUUUUUAUUUAAAAAUCCCUCGUAAAAUUCACGAUUCUCCAUUUUAAAACUUGAACAACCCCUAUAUCUUCUAAAAUCAUCACUACUUCCAGUAAUUCAUCGUAUAAUUUAUGAAAAAAUUCAGGAAAAAGUGAGGUUAUAUUUAUGUUUACGUUCGAUAAAAUCAAUCAAAGGCCCUUAAAAGCAUGUAAAACCGGUGCUGUUGAAUUUAAAAGUGCCCCCGGUACGUGAGAGUUGAAGCUGGAUGAUGGAGGUGCGGCAACCGGCCUGCAAGGGGUGCGGUUACCCCGUGGAUUUGGAGGUAGAUUUGCAGUGUCGGAGAUGCGGAAGUUUCGCGCAUUUUGAGUGUGCUGAGGUUGCCCCGGAAACGGAUAUCGGAAGCGUAGGGAUUCGGCCCGAUGAAGAUUAUAGCUGCUCCGUCUGUAGAUCAGAGAACCAGUCCAUGGAUCGGCUGCGCUCAGGGCAUGGUCGACAGCUGAGUCAGACACGCAAAGGCACGAGCAACACUAGCCACAGCCCUAGCCAAAUUCCUAACCGAGUGAACCGCAGCCCUAGCCGAACAAGAUAUAGGCAAAGCCACAGCACUAGUCCUGCUGGCCGAAAAAUGAGCCACGCUAGCCGCAGUGCUAGCCUCGCAAGUCAGGGGUCAAGACGAGCGGACAACGAGAGGGCGAAAUGUAACGCUAGCUUGACGAGGUAUAACACAACGAGGAACGAACAACCGGGAUAUUACCGGAAAACGAGUGGGAAAAGAGUGACCAUCCGGGAAAGCGAAGAGAUUCGGAACAGGAGAAAUUCCGACUGCGUAGAAGAUGAAGGGCUUCCAUUUCAAACGAAUCAGCAGCAAGUAUCAGAGCAGUUUCCUAUUCGACAGGGCAUCUUAUCACAACCUUGUUAUCGGGAGCCCCGCGAAACCUUUCCGUGUGAUGACCCCAACGACACACAUUUAUCUACCUUCGCCACGCAAGGACCGCGUAUUUGUCACAGACCGGCACAUAAUUCAACUAACCAGCCGCCAACAGGCUGCUCGAAGCAUGGGCAUUGGGCCUCAACACUACCUCACCAUGUGAAUCAACAGCAAAUUCACUCUGGAGUCCUGCGACAAAGUUACCUUGGGAUGCAACAGCAAUGUCACUUCGGGGGUCCACAAAUGAGUUACCUGGGGGCCUCUCAUCAGUCUUACCUUGGAACUCAAACACCGGGUCGUCCUCUGGUAAAAGCCGAGGUUCAACCCAAAUGCCCAAUGCAAAUCGCGGGGACACCCACAUUUGAUCCGUUGCAGACUACGUGCCUAUACGAGGAUUCAUGGACAAGCCAGCCUAGGUUACACUCACAACCUUGCUGCACAGACCAACGCGGUGCUGAAAAUUGGUCGACAGGAGCUGAAUGCGACUCAGCUUGCAGAGAAUUCAAAGACAGAACCGAAACCACAAAGCCACUACACCGUGACACUGACGAAGGAAAUGAGGAAACCGGAAAGCACAGUGCUCGAAUGACGGACAACUACUACCAAGACGGAAUAAGAUCUUUAAGGUCGGGCUUCUCUCCUGGGACCCAAAGCCCACGGGUAGAUGAGCCACAGUUGAGAGGUGAAAACCAUGUUCCAGAAGCCGACAUUGAUCGUCUGUAUUCGGAUCGACGCCGAGGAUCUUGGAGCACCUCUGAUGACGUCAGCCGGAAUCAAGUAAGAGAAAAAAGAAGGACCUACAGUUCGGGGGUAGACGGACCAUCGAUACCAACAGAAAGCUACGAAAUAGCACCUGACUCUCAACAAAGAUACUUUGAGCCUCUACUGACAUCCACCAGAAUCGGUUACCAGCAUAGACAAAGCCAAAAUCCAAACGUGAAUGGGUUUCCUUUGCAAAACGAAGGCUUUGCUUCGGGAUUGUAUGUUGAUCGCAGUUACUCAGAGCUCCCCACAGGACCUAGGAAGACCUCUAAUAGCGCACUGGAGGCGUACCGGAAUCAGUGCACGAGCAAUUUAGACCAACCCAGGAAAAAGGGCGAUUCCGUCAGCGCGCGACGCAGAAAGGCUAAAACGGAUCCUUGUGAGAAACUCCAAUUCGAGAACGAACCUGGACCAAAUCUUGUUCGUGGAAAUUCCAGUUGUGGCCUAGGAAUGAGGCACUCACGAUCGUUUAAUUCAGGAAUAGGACCCACCUCGUCACUGAUUCAAUCAGAGUUGAGGCCCUCGCAAUUAGAUUACGGAGGAAUGGGGUUCUGUCAACCGGUUCUCACAGAAAUGGGGCCCCCAACGCCAAAUUGCUCAGGAAUGCUCCCGCAAGACAUUGGGAUCACGUCUUGCGCAGAUAUGGAGUUCCCGGAUGCGGGAUUUUCAGUGGUGGGACCUUCAGAAUCGUUUUACCUGGGAUUGCGGACCCCCCCACCGGUUUAUAGUGACGAUCAAAACGGCUGUGCUGAUAAUCCACCUGGAGGACAUACUGAGCCCACUGGACGACACAUGUCCAACGAGCAAGAUGAACAACAAGAGACGCGGUCGAAGAUGGAGAUCUGCGAGGACCUGACGAAUGAGGCCAUCGAGACCUUGAGCAAGCUGAACAAAGCUUCUUCCAAAGUGGCGAGUGCGGACAUCAAAGAGGACCCACCUUGCUCGGAGGUCCAUUCCGUUGGCUCCGUGGAUUCGGACCUGCGCAAAGAGAGCGACUGGAUGGCUAAGCAGGCCCGUACUUACCGCCAACUCGACGAGAUCGCCGCCAAAAUCGCGGCCAUGGAGAAAAAACACGAGCACUUACUCGACGACUCAGGAGAGAAGUCCAUGGUGCGGAGGCAACGGAGCGUUCACUUUGCGUCCGACUGCGACGUGGAUGAGAAUUUGAAGGAAAUAUCGGUCAAAUUGGACACGAUGGAAAACAACCAGGUGACAUUGUCAUCCUCGUGGUUGCAGCAGCUCAAAGGUUUCAAGGCAUACACCGAGGCCGUCCAAAUGCGACUCUGCAAUCUCGAGCAACGAACCCGACUGCUGGAGGAAAAGGCGCAAGAUGCAAACCGCCAGACCAUCCGCCGCGCCAUCCAGGGCAGAGCGGGUGGGUCCAGGACGCCCUCUGUCGGGGACCUCGCAUCUAUCCAGGACCCCACCCACGUCUCCAGUCAUUCCCUCGGUUCCUCCGUCCAGGGUCAGAUAGAGAACUCUGUCCAAGGUCAGACCGAAAACUCCGAACAAGGUCAAAUUGAGGGCUCCACCCAAGGUCAGAUCGAGGACUCCAUCAGAGGUCAGAUCGAGGACUCCAUCCAAGGUCAGAUUGUGGACUCCAUCCAAGGUCAGAUUGUGGACUCCAUCCAAGGUCACAUUGUGGACUCCGUCCACGACUGCAUUGAGGGCAAAGAAGGGAGCAUCGCUCUUAGCCUGGAGGUCCUCAUCGAGGAGUUCAAAUGUCUAGAAGAGGUGCGGCAGAACUUGCUCCGGCAAGCCCGAGACAGAGGAGAAUUUCAAUCUGAUCGGGCGAUGCAAGAGUAUUUGGACACGCUGUCCCAGUUCGAUGUCGGAUUGGUGGAAAUGCGCAAACUCUUCAAGGAUGUCACGUGGCUCGUCAGGGCUGAUAUUGGCCAGGUCGCGCAGGAGAGAGAAAAGGCGCAGAAUAUAGCCGCGCAACUUAAAAAUUUGCUGGAGGAACUGGAAAUCUCGAGAAGUCGAGCUGUAAAGGCUGUUCAAAGAGUGCCCGACAAGCUGUUCGAAGACAACCAAUGCCAAGUGCUUCUCGGCUCCUUCGAAGUUAGCUCCGAAAAAUCUAGCAAGAUAGCGAAGAAAAUGCUGGACGAGAGCUCUGCCACCGGCUCUCGUGAUCUUUUGGAUAUAAUUUAA
rnacentral:lncRNA from 1 species